UACAGAGGGUGCGAGCGUUAAUCGGAAUUACUGGGCGUAAAGCGUGCGUAGACGGUUCUGUAAGUCGGAUGUGAAAUCCCCGGGCUCAACCUGGGAAUGGCAAUGGAUACUGGGCAGCUAGAGUGUGUCAGAGGAUGGUGGAGUUCCCGGUGUAGCGGUGAAAUGCGUAGAGAUCCGGAGGAACACCGACGGCGAAGGCAGCGCCCUGGCCGCCAUCUGACGCUCAGGCACGAAAGCUGGGGGAGCGAACAGG
rnacentral:rRNA from 1 species